ensembl:snRNA U6 U6 spliceosomal RNA
GUGCUCAUUUCGGUGGCACAUAGACUAAAAUUAGGAUCACACAGAGACUAUUAGCAUGGCCCCAAAACAAAAAUGGUGUGCAAAUUUGUGGGGCGUUCCAUGUUUUU